rnacentral:rRNA from 1 species
AGAGUUUGGUCCUGGCUCAGGAUGAACGCUAGCGGCAGGCUUAAUACACGCAAGUCGUGGGGCAGCGCAGUCCCGCAGCAAUGCGGGAUGGGCGGCGACCGGCAAACGGGUGCGGAACACGUACGCAACCUUCCUUCAAAUGGGGAAUAGCCCAGGGAAACUUGGAUUAAUACCCCGUAACAUUACGAGAUGGCAUCAUUUUGUAAUUAUAGCUACGGCGUUUGAAGAUGGGCGUGCGCCUGAUUAGGUAGUUGGCGGGGUAACGGCCCACCAAGCCUGCGAUCAGUAACUGGUGUGAGAGCACGACCAGUCACACGGGCACUGAGACACGGGCCCGACUCCUACGGGAGGCAGCAGUAAGAAAUAUUGGUCAAUGGACGCAAGUCUGAACCAGCCAUGCCGCGUGGAGGAUGAAGGUCCUCUGGAUUGUAAACUUCUUUUAUUUGGGAAGAAACCCACGGUUUCUACUGUGGUUGACGGUACCAGAUGAAUAAGCACCGGCUAACUCCGUGCCAGCAGCCGCGGUAAUACGGAGGGUGCAAGCGUUAUCCGGAUUCACUGGGUUUAAAGGGUGCGUAGGCGGGCAGGUAAGUCAGUGGUGAAAUCCCCGAGCUUAACUUGGGAACUGCCGUUGAUACUAUCUGUCUUGAAUACUAUGGAGGUAAGCGGAAUAUGUCAUGUAGCGGUGAAAUGCUUAGAUAUGACAUAGAACACCAAUUGCGAAGGCAGCUUGCUACACAGUUAUUGACGCUGAGGCACGAAAGCGUGGGGAUCAAACAGGAUUAGAUACCCUGGUAGUCCACGCCCUAAACGAUGGAUACUCGACAUCAGCGAUACACUGUUGGUGUCUGAGCGAAAGCAUUAAGUAUCCCACCUGGGAAGUACGACCGCAAGGUUGAAACUCAAAGGAAUUGGCGGGGGUCCGCACAAGCGGUGGAGCAUGUGGUUUAAUUCGAUGAUACGCGAGGAACCUUACCUGGGCUAGAAUGCAUUCUGACCGUGGGUGAAAGCUCACUUUGUAGCAAUACACAAUUUGUAAGGUGCUGCAUGGCUGUCGUCGGCUCGUGCCGUGAGGUGUUGGGUUAAGUCCCGCAACGAGCGCAACCCCCGUCAUUAGUUGCCAUCAGGUAAAGCUGGGAACUCUAAUGAAACUGCCGUCGUAAGACGCGAGGAAGGAGGGGAUGAUGUCAAGUCAUCAUGGCCUUUAUGCCCAGGGCUACACAC